GAUGAACGCUGGCGGCGUGCCUAAUACAUGCAAGUCGAGCGAACAGACGAGGAGCUUGCUCCUCUGACGUUAGCGGCGGACGGGUGAGUAACACGUGGAUAACCUACCUAUAGGACUGGGAUAACUUCGGGAAACCGGAGCUAAUACCGGAUAAUAUAGUGAACCGCAGGGUUCAAUAGUGAAAGACGGUUUUGCUGUUACUUAUAGAUUGAUCCGCGCCGCAUUAGCUAGUUGGUAAGGUAACGGCCUACCAAGGCAACGAUGAGUAGCCGACCUGAGAGGGUGAUCGGCCACACUGGAACUGAGACACGGCCCAGACUCCUACGGGAGGCAGCAGUAGGGAAUCUUCCGCAAUGGGCGAAAGCUUGACGGAGCAACGCCGCGUGAGUGAUGAAGGUCUUCGGAUCGUAAAACUCUGUUAUUAGGGAAGAACAAAUGUGUAAGUAACUAUGCACGUCUUGACGGUACCUAAUCAGAAAGCCACGGCUAACUACGUG
rnacentral:rRNA from 1 species